rnacentral:misc_RNA from 1 species
GAAAUGCGAUAAGUAAUGUGAAUUGCAGAAUUCAGUGAAUCAUCGAAUCUUUGAACGCACCUUGCGCUCCUUGGUAUUCCUUGGAGCAUGCCUGCUCGAGCGUCAUUUCAACCCUCAGAACCCCUUGCGGGAUCUGGCGUUGGGGAUUGGCAUCCAGCCAGCCCCGAAAUCUAGUGGCGGUCCCUCCGCGACCUCCCCUGUGCAGUAGCGAUACCUCGCAGCGGGACAGCGGUCUGACCACGCCGUAAAACCCCCAACUUCUCAAGGUUGACCUCGAAUCAGGUAGGAAUACCCGCUGAACUUAAGC